ensembl:lncRNA
UUUUACAGUAAUUAGAACCCAAAACAUUUUUUUAUUUUAUUUUUUAUAAAUAUUAUUUAUAGGUAAUUUUUGCGGUCCUAAAAAGUGGUAUUAUGUAUAACCUUUUUUACCUUUUGAUUUUGGGGUGAAAUAUGACAGACAUGCUGUUUGUGAUUUUAUGGCAAAAUGUGAUUUAUAUUAAUGGCUAUUUCUACUCAAAGGCAAGAAAACUGUUGUGUGGGAUAUUAAAACAGUUGGUAGAUCAAAUUACUGGAAAGUGCUAUAAGAAAAAGAACUCAUCAACUCGAGGUGGUCUUCAGGUUUGGUUGAAGCCAUGAUUUGGUUGGCACAGGUGCUUAAUACAGACUUUAUGAUUAUUCAAGAGCACUUGAGGACAGGCUGCUUUUUGACUUCAUUUUGCUCAUAGUGCCUUCUCACAUAACAGCUCAAGCGAUUCUUCACCGUGCUUGGUGGAAGUCUGCUUUCUUAAACACAGAUGAAAUGAAAAACCUGCUGCAUGUACUCUGCCAAAAAAUAGUUUUAGUCUGAUAUUAUUCCAUUUAUUUACAUUAUCAGGCAGUUACUAAAGCUAUGAAGGAACUUAAUCUUAUCUUUCCCAGACUCACAAAUCUGCUUGUUGAAUGCAGCUUUUAUUCAUCAAUAAACAGACCAUCACACUGUCAUGAAGACAUGCAAUUCUUUGACAUUUUAUAGCCGGAGGUUUCUGAUCUGCCCUACAUUUCACAGCACAUUUAUACUUCACUAUUAAACAGCUGGUUUAAGGUUAAAACGCUUAUGCACCUUGUUAUGCCUUAAUAACCACCUCUAUACUCAGGGCUUUUUAAAUAUCCUCAUAACUCAUAGUAAAGUUUAUUUCGCUGCAUGACUGCAAGCAAUCUGCUAGAUUCACAUUAAUGCAUUAUUCUUUUUCAUUAGGCAUUUUUAAUAUUUUCAUAAAAGCAUCAUCCAAAUAAUGCACAGCCUGCACAGACGUGAGAAUGCAGGGUUCCUGUGCCAUCCAAAACUUUAAUAUCUCCCCAGCUUUGGUUGUUUAUAGGUCAUCUUUUAUGGUGAUAAACGCUGACCCUUUCCUCCAUUCGAUUUCUGACAGAUGCAAAUGAUUUUCAGGUUGUACAUUUGUCGAAAAAGAAGAUAAUGAACAAUGAGUUCAUGUCUUU